UACGUAGGGGGCUAGCGUUUGUCCGGAAUCAUUGGGCGUAAAGAGCGUGUAGGCGGCCCCGGUAAGUCCGCUGUAAAAGUCAAAGGCUCAACCUUUGAAUGUCAGUGGAUACUGCCGGGCUAGAGUCCGGAAGAGGCGAGUGGAACUCCUGGUGUAGCGGUGGAAUGCGCAGAUAUCAGGAAGAACACCAACGGCGAAGGCAGCUCG
rnacentral:rRNA from 1 species